rnacentral:misc_RNA from 1 species
CAAAAUAAAAGAGUAUAUUAAAAGCAAAUAUUAGUAGAAGUGAGAAGUAGCUAGUGGGUAAAAGAGAGAAGAAGUAAAGAGCUUUAACCAGAUAUCUAUAAGUGAGUUAAUAA